AAGACCUUGCGCUUUUGGAGCGGCCGAUGUCUGAUUAGCUUGUUGGUAAGGUAAAAGCUUACCAAGGCUUCGAUCAGUAGCUGGUCUGAGAGGACGACCAGCCACACUGGGACUGAGACACGGCCCAGGCUCCUACGGGAGGCAGCAGUGGGGAAUUUUGGACAAUGGGGGCAACCCUGAUCCAGCCAUGCCGCGUGAGUGAAGAAGGCCUUCGGGUUGUAAAGCUCUUUCAGCCGGAACGAAACGGUUACGGUUAAUACCCGUGACUACUGACGGUACCGGAAGAAGAAGCACCGGCUAACUACGUGCCAGCAGCCGCGGUAAUACGUAGGGUGCAAGCGUUAAUCGGAAUUACUGGGCGUAAAGCGUGCGCAGGUGGUUUUGUAAGUCAGAUGUGAAAUCCCCGGGCUUAACCUGGGAACU
rnacentral:rRNA from 1 species